rnacentral:tRNA from 1 species
GCCAGUGUGGUAUAGUGGUUUGAGCACUGGACUACAACUCUGGAUACCAGGGUUUGAAUCCCCACUUGGCCA